rnacentral:rRNA from 1 species
GACGAACGCUGGCGGCGUGCUUAACACAUGCAAGUCGAACGGAAAGGCCCUGCUUUUGUGGGGUGCUCGAGUGGCGAACGGGUGAGUAACACGUGAGUAACCUGCCCUUGACUUUGGGAUAACUUCAGGAAACUGGGGCUAAUACCGGAUAGGAGCUCCUGCUGCAUGGUGGGGGUUGGAAAGUUUCGGCGGUUGGGGAUGGACGCGCGGCUUAUCCGCUUGUUUGUGGGGUAGUGGCUUACCAAGGCUUUGACGGGUAGCCGGCCUGAGAGGGUGACCGGGCACAUUGGGACUGAGAUACGGCCCAGAAUCCAACGGGAGGCAGCAGGGGGGAAUAUUGCAAAAUGGGCGGAAGCCUGAUGCAGCAACGCCGCGUGCGGGAUGACGGCCUUCGGGUUGUAAACCGAUUUCGCCUGUGACGAAGCGUGAGUGACGGUAAUGGGUAAAGAAGCACCGGCUAACUACGUG